CUUUUGACCUCGGAUCAGGUAGGGAUACCCGCUGAACUUAAGCAUAUCAAUAAGCGGAGGAAAAGAAACCAACAGGGAUUGCCCUAGUAACGGCGAGUGAAGCGGCAACAGCUCAAAUUUGAAAUCUGGCUCUUUUAGAGUCCGAGUUGUAAUUUGCAGAGGGCGCUUUGGCUUUGGCAGCGGUCCAAGUUCCUUGGAACAGGACGUCACAGAGGGUGAGAAUCCCGUACGUGGUCGCUGGCUAUUGCCGUGUAAAGCCCCUUCGACGAGUCGAGUUGUUUGGGAAUGCAGCUCUAAAUGGGAGGUACAUUUCUUCUAAAGCUAAAUAUUGGCCAGAGACCGAUAGCGCACAAGUAGAGUGAUCGAAAGAUGAAAAGCACUUUGGAAAGAGAGUCAAACAGCACGUGAAAUUGUUGAAAGGGAAGCGCUUGCAGCCAGACUUGCUUACAGUUGCUCAUCCGGGUUUCUACCCGGUGCACUCUUCUGUAGGCAGGCCAGCAUCAGUUUGGGCGGUAGGAUAAAGGUCUCUGUCACGUACCUCCUUUCGGGGAGGCCUUAUAGGGGAGACGACAUACUACCAGCCUGGACUGAGGUCCGCGCAUCUGCUAGGAUGCUGGCGUAAUGGCUGUAAGCGGCCCGUCUUGAAACACGGACCAAGGAGUCUAACAUCUAUGCGAGUGUUUGGGUGUCAAGCCCGAGCGCGUAAUGAAAGUGAACGGAGGUGGGAACCCGCAAGGGUGCACCAUCGACCGAUCCUGAUGUCUUCGGAAGGAUUUGAGUAAGAGCAUGGCUGUUGGGACCCGAAAGAUGGUGAACUAUGCUUGAAUAGGGUGAAGCCAGAGGAAACUCUGGUGGAGGCUCGCAGCGGUUCUGACGUGCAAAUCGAUCGUCAAAUUUGGGCAUAGGGGCGAAAGACUAAUCGAACUAUCUAGUAGCUGGUUCCUGCCGAAGUUUCCCUCAGGAUAGCAGUAACGUAUUCAGUUUUAUGAGGUAAAGCGAAUGAUUAGAGGCCUGGGGGUUGAAACAACCUUCCCCUAUUCUCAACUUUAAUAUGUAAGAAGUCCU
rnacentral:rRNA from 1 species